UCAGGCCUAACACAUGCAAGUCGAACGGACCCUUCGGGGUUAGUGGCGGACGGGUGAGUAACGCGUGAGGAUCUGCCUACAGGUGGGGGACAACAGUUGGAAACGGCUGCUAAUACCCCAUGUGCCGGAAGGUGAAAGGUUAACUGCCUGUAGAUGAACUCGCGUCUGAUUAGCUAGUUGGUGGGGUAAUGGCCUACCAAGGCGACGAUCAGUAGCUGGUCUGAGAGGAUGAUCAGCCACACUGGGACUGAGACACGGCCCAGACUCCUACGGGAGGCAGCAGUGGGGAAUUUUCCGCAAUGGGCGAAAGCCUGACGGAGCAACGCCGCGUGCGGGAGGAAGGCCUUAGGGUUGUAAACCGCUUUUAUCAGGGAAGAACACAAUGACGGUACCUGAUGAAUAAGCCUCGGCUAAUUCCGUGCCAGCAGCCGCGGUAAUACGGGAGAGGCGAGCGUUAUCCGGAAUUAUUGGGCGUAAAGCGUCCGCAGGUGGCCAAUUAAGUCUGUCGUUAAAUCGUGGAGCUCAACUCCAUACAAGCGAUGGAAACUGAUUGGCUAGAGUACGGUAGGGGUAGCGGGAAUUCCAGGUGUAGCGGUGAAAUGCGUAGAUAUCUGGAAGAACACCAGCGACGAAAGUGCGCUACUGGGCCUGUACUGACACUCAUGGACGAAAGCCAGGGGAGCGAAAGGGAUUAGAUACCCCUGUAGUCCUGGCCGUAAACGAUGAACACUAGGUGUUGCGCGAAUCGACCCGUGCAGUGCCGUAGCCAACGCGUUAAGUGUUCCGCCUGGGGAGUACGCACGCAAGUGUGAAACUCAAAGGAAUUGACGGGGGCCCGCACAAGCGGUGGAGUAUGUGGUUUAAUUCGAUGCAACGCGAAGAACCUUACCAAGGCUUGACAUCCCCCGAAUCUCUGGGAAACCGGAGAGUGCCUUCGGGAGCGGGGA
rnacentral:rRNA from 1 species